rnacentral:rRNA from 1 species
UACAGAGGUCCCGAGCGUUGUUCGGAUUCAUUGGGCGUAAAGGGUGCGUAGGUGGCGCUGUAAGUGGGGUGUGAAAUCCCGGGGCUUAACCCCGGGACUGCAUUCCAUACUGCGGUGCUUGAGGACUGGAGAGGAGACUGGAAUUUACGGUGUAGCAGUGAAAUGCGUUGAGAUCGGAAGGAACGCCCGUGGCGAAAGCGAGCCCCUGGACGUCUACUGACGCUGAGACGCGAAAGCCAGGGGAGCGAACGGG